rnacentral:rRNA from 1 species
UACAGAGGGUGCGAGCGUUAAUCGGAAUUACUGGGCGUAAAGCGUGCGCAGGCGGUUGUGCAAGACAGAUGUGAAAUCCCCGGGCUCAACCUGGGAAUUGCAUUUGUGACUGCACGGCUAGAGUGUGUCAGAGGGGGGUAGAAUUCCACGUGUAGCAGUGAAAUGCGUAGAGAUGUGGAGGAAUACCGAUGGCGAAGGCAGCCCCCCUGGGAUAACACUGACGCUCAUGCACGAAAGCGUGGGGGAGCAAACAGG